UGUUGAAUUAAAGCAGAGUCUGUCGUGCCCAGCGGAAGGAUGACGAUACGUGCUGCAUACUCUUAUUGCUUUAUUUACAGUUCAAAGCUGGUAUAUUACAGAAAGACAUCUUGCCUCUGCCGAAGCAGAGAAAUGCAUCCUCUCUCCUCGACAGCUCGGAGAGAAUCACACAGUGAAAAAACAGGAAACCAGUGUACGUCACAUCCAGUCUCCCUUUCCCGUGAGAAACUCCAACAGUACAGACUGUGGAAUGUAAACACCUGUCUCAUGACAAGCAGAGCUGCACAGUGAAGGAAAGCAGAAACCAACAUCCUCCCCCUUUCUGUGAACAUCACUGGGCAGCGUGUUUGUACAAUAUCAGUACAAACCCAACUUCUGCACAUAGGUACAGUGUUGAUCCCUUGAUACAAUCUUGGACAAUACAUCAGCAGGAAUUUCAUUACCUGGCAUAUAGGACACCGUUACGAGUCCCUUCUGAAUACAUUCCCUAGCAUGCUGCAACUUUAAUUGCAAGUGCUUUGUGCUUUGCUUACAACCUUCAGACUUCAGCAAAGCCAAACAUGCUUUGUUGUCCUGGUAAACCUGGAUUGGACAUUUGACAGGAAUUUUCAUAUCUUUGCACAAUUGUACUAACCAUUCACAAUCCUUAAGUGAAUAAGACAGUGCAUUCAGUUCGGCUUCACAAGUACUUAAGCUAACUGUUGUUUGCUUCUUGCAUGACCAAUCAAACAGACUCUGAUUGUACAUGUAGCAAACUCCAGACGUACUUUUCCUGUCUGUAGCGUCACUUCCAAAACUUGCAUCUGCAAAUAUCUCAAGACCACCAGACUUCUGAUUGUUAAAUCUCAGUCUGUAAUGCAUAGUGCCUUUCAAAUACCGCGCUAUGCGUUUCAGAGCUUUCCAAUCCUUGACACUAGGAUUGUUGACUUGUCUGCUUAGCAAAUUACAGCUAACAGCAAUGUCUGGUCUUGAACAUCUGGCAAUGAAGUUUAGCUUGCCUAGCACACUCCUGUACAGUGUAGUGUCAGAAAAUGCUUCUUCAGUGUCAUCUACCUGAUAACCUGUUGUCAUCGGUGUGUCUACAGGGUUAGCAUCCAUCAGAUUUAGUUUGCUUAACACAUCAGCAAUUUUCCGUGACUGGUGUACUAGAAUGUUACCAUCUUGAUCUCUCUCUAUUUCCAGAGAUAGGUAGUUGUUUACCUCACCAAGAUCUUUCAUGUCAAAGUGCUCUUUCAGUUGAGCUAGGGCGCUAUUGUACAUUGCGACGUCUUUCCAAAAGAAUAAUAAAUCAUCAACAUAAAACAAACAGUACAGUUUCUUUUGCCCCUCCUCUUUGACAAAUACACAUGGAUCAGCUUUCCUUGCUGAAAACCUAGAGAAAACAAUACUUCAGUGAGUUUUGUGUGCCAACACCGUGCACUUUGUUUGAGACCAUAAAGGGAUUUCUUCAGAGCACAAACAAAUCCCUGUUUUACCUGUACGCCAUCAGGUGGAAGCAUAUAAAGUGAUUCAUCUAGAGAUCCGUACAGAAAAGCUGUAUUAAUAUCAUGGUGACUAAUGUGUAGAUUUUCCUCUGCAGCUAGCUUGAGCAUAAGCCUAAUGCUUUCAUAUCUCACUGUGGGUGAAUAGGUCUCGUGAUAGUCUUCACCUGGUACCUGUGCAAAACCUCUGGCUACCAAUCUGGCUUUGUGUCUGACUAUCUUGCCAUUUUGAUCUGUCUUGGCUUUGAAGACCCAUUUGCUUCCAAGCAGUUUCAUUCCUGGAACUACUGGAACUAGCUCCCAUGUUUUGUUCCUUUCUAAGGAAUCAAGCUCAGCCUUCAUGGCAUUUAACCAUGGCUCAGCUUCCUUCGAAUCCAAACCUUGGAUUUCUUGGAAACUUGAAGGUUCAAAUACCUUCUUGGAGCUUUUAACAGCUGUUACUGCUAUCUUAGCAAACUCAUCAGCAAAUCUCUUUGGAGGUUUGCCUUUUGUGGCUCUCUGUGACCUACGAAUUAGCCUUAAGUCUUCAACACUCUCCUCUUCCUUCUUAGGAGAAAAACGACCUAUUGUGAACAAUGGUUCCUCCAAUUCUUGAUCAGAGCUUUCAGAGGGUCGCAUAGAGGCUUUCGCACUCUUGAAAUCCUCUGAAUCACCCGAUUCAGUUUCAGAUUCAGACUCAGAACCUUCAUCAGUGGGUGUGGGUUGUUGUGGUUGCUUUUGACUAUCCUCAGUCUCAUCACCGUCAUCAGGAUAACAUUGGAAAAUUCCCACAUUCUCCCCCCACUUUGCAUUGUACUCAACACUUCUCGUGAGCUUAAUUGUCUUAGAGUCAGUCAUCAUUAUUCUGUAAGACCCUUUCUGAUAACCUAGAAAGAUACCAUGCAAUCCACGCUUGUCUAACUUGGAGUUUUGUGGUGAGCGAACCCACAUGUCAGAACCAAAAAUCUUCAUGUGUUUGAUGUAUGGCUUCUUGCCAAACAUCUUCUCAUAGAGGUACAACCAAUCGCUGAAGAUAACCUGCGAUUGUAACUGUAAACAAAACACGAGAGAGAUUCGCCCAAUAACUCUCUGGAAGAUUGGCAUCAUGCAGCAAGGUUUUUAAGCCUUGAAGCAAUGUCUGAUUUGCCCGUUCCGCAAGUCCAUUCUGCCAUGGCGAGCGAGGACUAGACAAAUCGUGUUGAAUUCCUUUCUCAGUCAGAAAAGCUUCAAACUGCUGAGAAGUGAAUUCCCCCCCGCGAUCACUGAAAAGAGUCUUUAUCUUCUUACCAUGCACAUUUUCCAACCAAGCACAGAAUUCCUUGAACCUAGGAAAAGCCUCCGAUUUCUGCUUCAGAUUGUACACAAAAAUAUAUCUAGAAAAUGCAUCAAUGAGAACCAUGAAGUAUCUAUUUUCACCCAAAGAGGGUGCUAGUGGUCCAACCAAAUCAGCAUGAACAACCUGGUAUGGUUCUGUAGCUUUCCUACUAGACACCUUACCUUUCGCAGCCAUUUUCACCUUGUUUGCUGCGCAUGCUUUGCACUUCAUGUGGUACCUGCAGGGUUUAAUAGUCAUACCUUCUACCAAGGCAGGCAUUUUAGAUACUGCCUCAAAAUGCAAAUGACCAAAUUUGCGAUGAAAAUCGUGAAUACAUUCUGCAUGCAAACUUUUGUUAGAACCUGCAAUGCAACAAGUGUCAUCCUGCACCACAUCAUCAUAAUACAAAACAAACAAACGAUCAACAUAUUCUGCAUGCAAUACAUAAUCAUUUUUCUUUGUGAUGAUGCACUUCUUGUUCUUGAAGGAAACGUCAAUGUUCCGCUCAUUCAGCUGUCCAACGCUGAGCAGAUUAUGUUUGGCGUCUGGCACGUAAAGCACAUUCUGUAUCGAUAAGUCCAAACUGUGAAGAACAACAGUUCCGUAGCCUUUACUGGGAAUAGUGUGGUCAUCCGCCUGGUGAAUCGCACCUUCCUGCGGUGUAAAAGACACAAACAGUUUCUUAUCGUUGCACAUGUGGUGGGUGGCCGCUGAAUCAAUAACGAAGAAAGAUCUAGACGUCUUCUGGACCUCUGCAACCUUUGGAGUGAAGCGUGAAACCAUAGCCUUGUGCUGCGUUGUCCUAUACACCGGACCUUUGCCUUUGCCUCGGCCUUUUCCGCGCGAUGAGCUUUCGCUGCGCUGCUCUGUCUUGGCCCUGGGAUGUCUGCAUUCCCUCUUCAUAUGGCCUAGACGUCCACACGAGUAGCAUUUCACUGCCUUCAAAGCUUUGGCGCCAUCUGGUGGUUCCACUGCACUAUGGGAUGACGUCUGUGAAGACUCCCCUUGCCCAUGCAGCUAGCACCCGGCGAUCUGCUUCAUUUAAAAUCACGGCAGUAACAAAGUCCACUGUCAGCUGAGCAGUUGGUUGCACAGCAAUCUGGGUUGCAACAGACUCCCAACCUGAACCCAAAGAUUGUAGUAUCAUGAAAGAAUACACAGCCUCUGGAAAGUUGAGUCCUCUCUGUUGCAGCUCAUGUCUCAGAUUUUGCAUCUCUAUCAGAUGUAAACGUACAUCUCCACCUUCAGCAAGAGCCAUAUUGUGCAGCUUGUUAAAGUAAUACAUAGUGGAUCCAGCUUCUGUCCUUAAGUGAGCCUCUCUCAGAGCGUCCCAAAUUUCUCUGGCUGAGGUCUUAUCACGCAAUAGACAGAGCUCUUCUGGGGAUACUAUCAAUGUAAGAGUUCCCCUUGCUUUGGAAUCCUUAGCUUCCCAUGCAUCUGUAACUGGAACUGGGGGUUCCUGUAAUCACCUCAAACAAACCCUCUUUCCGCAGAAUUGCCUCUGCAUACUGAACCCAGUCGCUGUAAUUAUUCUUGUUGAGCUUAGGAAUCCCACAAGCAUCCUGAAGGGCCAUCAUGACUCUGGCAUUAGCCUUCAGCGUCAUAUGCUGCUUUAAAUCUUGCUGCGUCACUGCUGCAGCUGCCUCAUUACAAAGGCACACUUAAAAGUUACUUCGAUUUCCCCAGCAUAGUGACUUGUGCCUGGGAGCCUUUUGCCUAUUUGCAAAACCGGCUUUAAAAGUUCAAAGUCCAGCCAUAAAGCCAUUAUCUUGAAGCUGGCAGGCUGCCCGGAGCAGUAGCACAUACCUCAUCAAUCACUUCUACGCGCAGAGCAGAUUCCUUUCCGAUCCGUCCCUCUGCAUUCCGAUCCUUUGCCGGCACUCCGAUUCGACCUCUGGAGUCCAUAACCACGUGUUGAAUUAAAGCAGAGUCUGUCGUGCCCAGCGGAAGGAUGACGAUACGUGCUGCAUACUCUUAUUGCUUUAUUUACAGUUCAAAGCUGGUAUAUUACAGAAAGACAUCUUGCCUCUGCCGAAGCAGAGAAAUGCAUCCUCUCUCCUCGACAGCUCGGAGAGAAUCACACAGUGAAAAAACAGGAAACCAGUGUACGUCACAUCCAGUCUCCCUUUCCCGUGAGAAACUCCAACAGUACAGACUGUGGAAUGUAAACACCUGUCUCAUGACAAGCAGAGCUGCACAGUGAAGGAAAGCAGAAACCAACA
rnacentral:lncRNA from 1 species